rnacentral:rRNA from 1 species
UACAGAAGGUGCGAGCGUUAAUCGGAUUUAUUGGGCGUAAAGGGUGCGUAGGUGGUAAAGCAAGUAAGAUGUGAAAGCCCCGGGCUUAACCUGGGAAGUGCAUCUUAAACUGCUUAACUAGAGUAUGGUAGAGGGUAGUGGAAUUUCCGGUGUAGCGGUGAAAUGCGUAGAUAUCGGAAGGAACGCCAGUGGUGAAGACGACUACCUGGACCAAUACUGACACUGAGGCACGAAAGCGUGGGGAGCAAACAGG